rnacentral:lncRNA from 13 species
AAUCCUUGGAGAGCGCCAGCCUCCUUUUUCUAAGCCUCUUUCUUUAUUCCACGGUGUUCCUCUUUAUUUUUACUCUCCUCUGAAAAUCUGUGUUCAGAACUGGACUAGGAGGUGGGAGAGAUAAGUGCAAGCCCAGUUCUGCCACUUUAAAGCUCUGCGAAUUUUAGUGACAGCAUGCUCUCCUUUAACAAUCAGGAGACAUGUGGAGCUUUUCCUGCUACAGUCUGUGGUAGGAUCAAGCCCUGGAAGACACAGAUGUUCAACCUGCCGACCACAGCCCAGGCAUUCCACAGCCGGCCUCCCAGGAGCCUUGCCAGUCUGGAAGUGAUUUUUGACUUUCAACAUUCUUCAAAAUCUAAUUCUGAACAAACAAAGCUUCUUUUCUACUGUCUCAAAUUUGCCUUAGCUGCCCUCCUGAGGCACGCAAAGACGUCCUUCUAGACGCACUCUUCCUACCCAGGUGUUAUUGAUGUUCUGUAGAGGGUAAACUCUGCCCUCCAAAAUGUGAUUCAACGGUCUGAGAAUCUGUGGCUUGACUGUCCCACAGGAUUAUUGUGGGGAUUAACAUUAAAAUGAGAUCAUAUGCAAUAAAUCUAAUGCAUUAUGUAAAUGUAAGGUAAUA